GUGGUCAAGUGAAUUAGGGCUCAUGGUGGAUACCUAGGCACACAGAGGCGAAGAAGGACGUGGUUACCAACGAAAAGCUCCGGGGAGCAGGAAGCAUGCUUUGAGCCGGAGAUGUCCGAAUGGGGCAACCCAAAAACGAAAGAGCGAACCCAGUGAAUUGAAACAUCUUAGUAGCUGGAGGAAAAGAAAUCAACAGAGAUUCCCUAAGUAGUGGUGAGCGAAAGGGGAAGAGCCUAAACCAACAGGUUAACUUGUUGGGGUAGUGGGAAAGCAACAUCGAAUCUAGCGGUGAGACGAAGCAGCGAAAUACUGCACCAGAGAAGGUGAAAGUCCUGUAGUCAAAAACUCAAGGAUAGAAGCUUCAUCCCGAGUAGCAUGGGGCACGAGGAAUCCCAUGUGAAUCAGCGAGGACCAUCUCGUAAGGCUAAAUACUACUGUGUGACCGAUAGCGAACAAGUACCGCGAGGGAAAGGUGAAAAGAACCCCGUUGAGGGGAGUGAAAUAGAACAUGAAACCGUGAGCUGACAAGCAGUGGGAGUCCGAUUCAACGGAUGACCGCGUGCCUGUUGAAGAAUGAGCCGGCGAGUUAUAGGUACUGGUAGGUUAAGUCAAAGAUGAAGCCAAAGCGAAAGCGAGUCCGAAGAGGGCGAGAUAUCAGUAUUUAUAGACCCGAACCCGGGUGAUCUAACCAUGUCCAGGAUGAAGCUUGGGUAACACCAAGUGGAGGUCCGAACCGACCGAUGUUGAAAAAUCGGCGGAUGAGGUGUGGUUAGGGGUGAAAUGCCAAUCGAACUCGGAGCUAGCUGGUUCUCCCCGAAAUGUGUUGAGGCGCAGCGGUAACAGAAAAACUGAGGGGUAAAGCACUAUUUCGGUGCGGGCUGGGAGACCGGUACCAAAUCGAGAUAAACUCAGAAUACUCAGUGGAGAGUUACCAGUGAGACGGUGGGGGAUAAGCUUCAUCGUCAAGAGGGAAACAGCCCAGACCACCAGCUAAGGUCCCAAAAUCAUCGCUCAGUGGUAAAGGAGGUGGGAGUGCAUAGACAACCAGGAGGUUUGCCUAGAAGCAGCCAUCCUUGAAAGAGUGCGUAAUAGCUCACUGGUCAAGCGCUCCUGCGCCGAAAAUGAAUGGGACUAAGCGAUGUACCGAAGCUGUGGAAUAGAAAAGAUGAAUUAUGAAUUAUGAAUUAUGAAUGGCGAAAAAACAAUUCAUAAUUUAUUAUUCAUAAUUCAUCAUUGUCUGUUGGUAGGGGAGCGUUCCGUGAUAGGUAGAAGCAGUAGCGGCAAGCAGCUGUGGACGAGACGGAAGUGAGAAUGUCGGCUUGAGUAGCGCAAACUAGGGUAAGAAUCCCUAGCCCCGAAACCCCAAGGGUUCCAGAGGCAGGUUCGUCCACUCUGGGUUAGUCGGGACCUAAGGCGAGGCUGAAAAGCGUAGUCGAUGGACAUCGGGUGAACAAUCCCGAACUUUGAUGUGGGAGCAGAGAUAAAUCGCAUGAAAAAUAGCAACGCCCUGAAUGGAUUGGGAGGUGUCUAAGGAUGCCGAGUUGUGAAAGAUAGUGCCAAGAAAAGUUAUGGCUGUGAUGAAAACAUCAAACCCGUACUCGAAACCGACACAGGUGGGGAAGUUGAGAAAACUCAGGGGCGCGAGAUAACUCUCUCUAAGGAACUCGGCAAAAUGGCCCCGUAACUUCGGAAGAAGGGGUGCCCACGAAAGUGGGUCGCAGUGAAGAGAUCCAGGCGACUGUUUACCAAAAACACAGGUCUCCGCAAACAAGCAAUUGGAAGUAUGGGGGCUGACGCCUGCCCAGUGCCGGAAGGUUAAGGAAGUUGGUCAGGGGGUUUCCCUAAAGCUGACGACUGAAGCCCCGGUGAACGGCGGCCGUAACUAUAACGGUCCUAAGGUAGCGAAAUUCCUUGUCGGGUAAGUUCCGACCCGCACGAAAGGCGUAACGAUCUGGAUGGUGUCUCAGAGAGAGACUCGGCGAAAUAGGAAUGUCUGUGAAGAUACGGACUACCUGCACCAGGACAGAAAGACCCUAUGAAGCUUUACUGUAGUCUGGAAUUGGGUCCGGGCUUGGCUUGCGCAGGAUAGGUGGGAGGCGUGGAGAUACCCCUUGUGGGGGGUAUGGAGCCAACGGUGAGAUACCACCCCCGCGAAGCUAGGAUUCUAACCCACGAUUGUGAAUCCAAUCGGGAGACAGUUUCAGAUGGGCAGUUUGACUGGGGCGGUCGCCUCCUAAAAGGUAACGGAGGCGCACAAAGGUUCCCUCAGCACGCUUGGAAACCGUGCGUUGAGUGCAAAGGCAAUAAGGGAGCUUGACUGUUAGACCAACAAGUCUCACAGGGUGGAAACACGGUCUUAGUGAUCCGACGGCACAGAAUGGAAUGGCCGUCGCUCAACGGAUAAAAGUUACUCUAGGGAUAACAGGCUGAUCUCCCCCAAGAGUCCACAUCGACGGGGAGGUUUGGCACCUCGAUGUCGGCUCAUCGCAACCUGGGGCGGAAGUACGUCCCAAGGGUUGGGCUGUUCGCCCAUUAAAGCGGUACGUGAGCUGGGUUCAGAACGUCGUGAGACAGUUCGGUCCAUAUCCGGUGCAGGCGCAAGAGCAUUGAGAGGAGUCCUCCUUAGUACGAGAGGACCGGGAGGAACGCACCGCUGGUGUACCAGUUAUCACGCCCGUGGUAGACGCUGGGUAGCCAAGUGUGGAGCGGAUAACCGCUGAAAGCAUCUAAGUGGGAAGCCCACCUCAAGAUGAGUGCUCUGACUAGUUUAACUAGGUAAGGUCACAGGUAGAACACCUGUUCAUAGGCAGUCGGUGUACGUGCAGUAAUGUACUUAGCCUAGCUGUCCUAACAGACCGAGGACUUGACCUC
rnacentral:rRNA from 1 species